CUGGCUCAGUCGUACAAGGUAGCCGUAGAGUUUGAUCCUGGCUCAUGUCGUAACCGGGCAAGCAAUGUCUGGGAAACUGCCUGAUGGAGGGGGAUAACUACUGGAAACGGUAGCUAAUACCGCAUAACGUCGCAAGACCAAAGAGGGGGACCUUCGGGCCUCUUGCCAUCGGAUGUGCCCAGAUGGGAUUAGCUAGUAGGUGGGGUAACGGCUCACCUAGGCGACGAUCCCUAGCUGGUCUGAGAGGAUGACCAGCCACACUGGAACUGAGACACGGUCCAGACUCCUACGGGAGGCAGCAGUGGGGAAUAUUGCACAAUGGGCGCAAGCCUGAUGCAGCCAUGCCGCGUGUAUGAAGAAGGCCUUCGGGUUGUAAAGUACUUUCAGCGGGGAGGAAGGCGACAGGGUUAAUAACCCUGUCGAUUGACGUUACCCGCAGAAGAAGCACCGGCUAACUCCGUGCCAGCAGCCGCGGUAAUACGGAGGGUGCAAGCGUUAAUCGGAAUUACUGGGCGUAAAGCGCACGCAGGCGGUCUGUCAAGUCGGAUGUGAAAUCCCCGGGCUCAACCCUGGGAACUGCAUUCGAAACUGGCAGGCUAGAGUCUUGUAGAGGGGGGUAGAAUUCCAGUGUAGCGGUGAAAUGCGUGAUGAUCUGGAGGAAUACCGGUG
rnacentral:rRNA from 1 species